GUUACUAUGACUACUGCUGCUGUAAUUACUCCGGUCCAAACUUCAUUAUAAUUGUUAAAAACCCAACAGCAGCAACAACAACCACCAACACAACAAGAAAGCGCUAACAAAAUGAAAAUAUAGGUACAAGUGCGACUCUAAUACUCUAAUACAUUCCAAUCACAAGAACUCGGCCAUUUUCGAUUCCACAUGCGCACUUAUAUAAAAAAAAAAGGAGCUAGACAAUCCUAUUCUUAAUUUAACAGCGGCUAAAGUAUUAACUCCGGUACUGCAAUAGAAGAAUCGACUUAACAGAUGUGAAGUAUAUUUUAAAUGCUUUGAUACUCAAAUGAAUUGCCAUUACAUUCAAAAACACUAUAAUCAGCCAACAGCUCUCAUCAAGAACCUCCAGAUAGUAUUGAGAAAAAAUUUGAUGAAGACAAUGAAAAUGUGGAAAAAAAAUUGGAGACUUUGACAUGUUAUUCGCAAUCCAUAGUGAUAAUCCUAUUAACAGUGAAGAUACACAAAACAAAGUUUAAGA